AGACCCGAAACCCGGUGAUCUAGCCAUGGGCAGGUUGAAGGUUGGGUAACACUAACUGGAGGACCGAACCGACUAAUGUUGAAAAAUUAGCGGAUGACCUGUGGCUGGGGGUGAAAGGCCAAUCAAACCGGGAGAUAGCUGGUUCUCCCCGAAAGCUAUUUAGGUAGCGCCUCGUGAAUUCAUCUCCGGGGGUAGAGCACUGUUUCGGCUAGGGGGCCAUCCCGGCUUACCAACCCGAUGCAAACUGCGAAUACCGGAGAAUGUUAUCACGGGAGACACACGGCGGGUGCUAACGUCCGUCGUGAAGAGGGAAACAACCCAGACCGCCAGCUAAGGUCCCAAAGUCAUGGUUAAGUGGGAAACGAUGUGGGAAGGCCCAGACAGCCAGGAUGUUGGCUUAGAAGCAGCCAUCAUUUAAAGAAAGCGUAAUAGCUCACUGGUCGAGUCGGCCUGCGCGGAAGAUGUAACGGGGCUAAACCAUGCACCGAAGCUGCGGCAGCGACACUCAGGUGUUGUUGGGUAGGGGAGCGUUCUGUAAGCCUGCGAAGGUGGCCUGUGAGGGUUGCUGGAGGUAUCAGAAGUGCGAAUGCUGACAUAAGUAACGAUAAAGCGGGUGAAAAGCCCGCUCGCCGGAAGACCAAGGGUUCCUGUCCAACGUUAAUCGGGGCAGGGUGAGUCGACCCCUAAGGCGAGGCCGAAAGGCGUAGUCGAUGGGAAACGGGUUAAUAUUCCCGUACUUGGUGUUACUGCGAAGGGGGGACGGAGAAGGCUAUGUUGGCCGGGCGACGGUUGUCCCGGUUUAAGCGUGUAGGUGUGUGUUCCAGGUAAAUCCGGUUCACUUUAACACUGAGGCGUGAUGACGAGGCACUACGGUGCUGAAGCAACAAAUGCCCUGCUUCCAGGAAAAGCCUCUAAGCAUCAGGUAACAUCAAAUCGUACCCCAAACCGACACAGGUGGUCAGGUAGAGAAUACCAAGGCGCUUGAGAGAACUCGGGUGAAGGAACUAGGCAAAAUGGUGCCGUAACUUCGGGAGAAGGCACGCUGACAUGUAGGUGAAGUGAUUUACUCAU
rnacentral:rRNA from 1 species